rnacentral:rRNA from 1 species
AUUGAACGCUGGCGGCAGGCCUAACACAUGCAAGUCGAACGGUAACGGGAAGCAGCUUGCUGCUUUGCUGACGAGUGGCGGACGGGUGAGUAAUGUCUGGGAAACUGCCUGAUGGAGGGGGAUAACUACUGGAAACGGUAGCUAAUACCGCAUAACGUCGCAAGACCAAAGAGGGGGACCUUAGGGCCUCUUGCCAUCGGAUGUGCCCAGAUGGGAUUAGCUAGUAGGUGGGGUAACGGCUCACCUAGGCGACGAUCCCUAGCUGGUCUGAGAGGAUGACCAGCCACACUGGAACUGAGACACGGUCCAGACUCCUACGGGAGGCAGCAGUGGGGAAUAUUGCACAAUGGGCGCAAGCCUGAUGCAGCCAUGCCGCGUGUAUGAAGAAGGCCUUCGGGUUGUAAAGUACUUUCAGCGGGGAGGAAGGGAGUAAAGUUAAUACCUUUGCUCAUUGACGUUACCCGCAGAAGAAGCACCGGCUAACUCCGUG